rnacentral:rRNA from 1 species
AGUGAACGCUGGCGGUAGGCCUAACACAUGCAAGUCGAACGGCGGCACAGUAAGAGCUUGCUCUUACGGGUGGCGAGUGGCGGACGGGUGAGGAAUACAUCGGAAUCUACUUUUUCGUGGGGGAUAACGUAGGGAAACUUACGCUAAUACCGCAUACGACCUACGGGUGAAAGCAGGGGAUCUUCGGACCUUGCGCGAUUGAAUGAGCCGAUGUCGGAUUAGCUAGUUGGCGGGGUAAAGGCCCACCAAGGCGACGAUCCGUAGCUGGUCUGAGAGGAUGAUCAGCCACACUGGAACUGAGACACGGUCCAGACUCCUACGGGAGGCAGCAGUGGGGAAUAUUGGACAAUGGGCGCAAGCCUGAUCCAGCCAUACCGCGUGGGUGAAGAAGGCCUUCGGGUUGUAAAGCCCUUUUGUUGGGAAAGAAAAGCAGCAGGUUAAUACCCCGCUGUUCUGGCGGUACCCAAAGAAUAAGCACCGGCUAACUUCGUG